GAUGAACGCUAGCGGGAGGCUUAACACAUGCAAGCCGAGCGGUAUUUCUUCUUCUGAAGAGAGAGAGCGGCGUACGGGUGCGGAACACGUGUGCAACCUGCCUUUAUCUGGGGGAUAGCCUUUCGAAAGGAAGAUUAAUACUCCAUAAUAUAUUGAACGGCAUCGUUUGAUAUUGAAAGCUCCGGCGGAUAGAGAUGGGCACGCGCAAGAUUAGCUAGUUGGUGAGGUAACGGCUCACCAAGGCAAUGAUCUUUAGGGGGCCUGAGAGGGUGAUCCCCCACACUGGUACUGAGACACGGACCAGACUCCUACGGGAGGCAGCAGUGAGGAAUAUUGGUCAAUGGGUGCAAGCCUGAACCAGCCAUCCCGCGUGAAGGAUUAAGGUCCUAUGGAUUGUAAACUUCUUUUGUAUAGGGAUAAACCUACCCUCGUGAGGGUAGCUGAAGGUACUAUACGAAUAAGCACCGGCUAACUCCGUGCCAGCCGCCGCCGUAAGAC
rnacentral:rRNA from 1 species